GGACGAACGCUGGCGGCGUGCCUAACACAUGCAAGUCGAACGGGGUGAAGAAUUUCGGUUUUUCACCUAGUGGCGAACGGGUGAGUAACGCGUGGGAAACUGCCCAUCACUGGGGAAUAACGUUUGGAAACGAACGCUAAUACCGCAUACGCCGGAAACGGGAAAGAUUUAUCGGUGAUGGAUGUGCCCGCGUUGGAUUAGCUUGUUGGUGGGGUAACGGCCUACCAAGGCGAUGAUCGGUAGCCGAACUGAGAGGUUGAUCGGCCGCAUUGGGACUGAGACACGGCCCAGACUCCUACGGGAGGCAGCAGUGGGGGAUAUUGCACAAUGGGGGAAACCCUGAUGCAGCAACGCCGCGUGAGGGAAGAAGGUCUUCGGAUUGUAAACCUAAGUUGUCAGGGACGAACAGAUGACGGUACCUGAAGAGAAAGCUCCGGCUAACUACGUG
rnacentral:rRNA from 1 species